rnacentral:tRNA from 2 species
GCCGAAGUGGUGAAAUUGGCAAACACGCAGUGUUCAGAACGCUGUGCCCGAAAGGGCUUGUGGGUUCAAGUCCCACCUUCGGCACCU